rnacentral:rRNA from 1 species
UGGCUCAGAAGGAACGCUAGCUAUAGGCUUAACACAUGCAAAUUUGACAAAGGUUCUUCCAGCUACAGUCAAGAAAAAGCUGUGACCACAAAAUGUGAGAAUACUUAGAAUCUAGGUGGCUAACGGGUGACUAAUGCGCAGGAAUCUACCUAACAGCUCGGGAGAUAGAUCCCGAAUAAAGGAAAGCUAGAAUGUGCUGAUUGAGGAGCUUGCGUAGUAUUAGGUUGUUGGUGCUGGUAAAUGCUCACCAAGCCGACGAUGCUUUGCUGGUCUUUUCGGACGAUCAGCCACACCGGGACUGAGGCACGGCCCGGACUUCUACGGGAGGCAGCAGUGGGGAAUCUUGGACAAUGGGCACAAGCCUGAUCCAGCCAUAUUGCGUGAGUGAAGAAGUUGCUUGAAGAGUCGUAGAGGAAGGGCCAUUUCGCUCGUAAAGCUCUUUCAGCGAGUUUGUUAUCAUGACAUGAAUCGAAGAAGAAGCCCCGGCUAACUCUGUGCCAGCAGCCGCGGUAAGACAGAGGGGGCAAGUGUUCUUCGGAAUGACUAGGCGUAAAGAGCACGUAGGCUGUUCAUUGUGUCUAAAGUGCCAUUCGCCUCAAAUAGGUGGAAUGCUUUCGAAACGAAUAGACUUGAGUGAGGCAGAGGAGAGUGGAAUUUCGUGUGUAGGGGUGAAAUCUUGAGAUCUACGAAGGAAGGCCAAAAGCGAAGGCAGCUCUCUGGGCCACCACUGACGCUGAGGUGCGAAAGCAUGGGUAGCAAACAGGAUUAGAGACCCUGGUAGUCCAUGCUGUAAACGAUGAGUGUUAGCCCAAGCAAGGGCUCAGUUAACACGCGAAACACUCCGCCUGGGGAGUACGUUCGCAAGAAUGAAACUCAAAGGAAUUGACGGGGGCCUGCACAAGCGGUGGAGCAUGUGGUUUAAUUCGAUACAACGCGCAAAACCUUACCAGUCCUUGAUAUAAGUUGAAACUUUCUAAAAAAGGAAAGGGCAUAGACUUACAGGUGUUGCAUGGCUGUCGUCAGCUCGUGCCUUGAGAUGUUUGGUUAAGUCCUUUAACGAGCGAAACCCUCAUUUUCUGUUGUGAGAAAGCUUUGUGAAGUCGACUGCUACACAUGCUAUACUUAGGAAAGACUGUCAGUGACAUACUGGAGGAAGGUGGGGAUGACGUCAAGUCCUCAUGGCCCUUAUGGACUGGGCCACACACGUGCUACAAUGGCAAUGACAAUGAGUAGCAAGACUUUCAAGUAGAGCGAAUCUCGAAACGUUGCCUUAGUUCGGAUUGUUCUCUGCAACUCGGGAGCAUGAAGUUGGAAUCGCUAGUAAUCGCGGAUCAGUAUGCCGCGGUGAAUAUGUACCCGGGCCCUGUACACACCGCCCGUCACACCCUGGGAAUGGAUCUUGCCCGAAGACGGGUUCUCAGUCUCAGCUAAGACCUUUGUGUGUGGGAAGCAUAGAGUUCUUUGUUCUGUGAUUGGUUCUAGUUUACGGUGAGGUCUUCGACUGGGGUGAAGUCGUAACAAGGUAGCUGUAGGGGAACCUGUGGCUGGAUUGAAUCC